UCGUUCUGCUCAGGGAGAGCUGCCAGAAGGGGCUGCUGUAGCAUUGUUCCAUAGAACCUCAAGAGGGUCAGAGGUCAAGAAUAUGACCAAACACAACAAUGGAGUAAUCAGAGCUGAGGCUCCGGGAGGCCAGCCAAGCCUCUCAUCGUCCUCAUCCGUACAGGGCUGCUCUGCUGUGUUCGCUCUCCUCUCAUCCACAGACGAGGACUCCAUAGGCGCAACCUCAGCUGUGUUGGGUGGACAGCAGCAGGUAACCAGAUCUGUGGAAUCACAACGACCCUUCAGCAAA